UACGUAGGGUGCGAGCGUUGUCCGGAAUUACUGGGCGUAAAGAGCUCGUAGGUGGUUUGUCGCGUUGUUCGUGAAAACUCACAGCUCAACUGUGGGCGUGCGGCGAUACGGGCAGACUAGAGUACUGCAGGGAGACUGGAAUUCCUGUGUAGCGUGGAAUGCGCAGAUAUCAGGAGGAACACCGGUGGCGAAGGCGGGUCUCUGGCAGUAACUGACGCUGAGGAGCGAAAGCGUGGGGAGCGAACAGGA
rnacentral:rRNA from 1 species